GACGAACGCUGGCGGCGUGCUUAACACAUGCAAGUCGAACGGAAAGGCCCUGCUUUUGUGGGGUGCUCGAGUGGCGAACGGGUGAGUAACACGUGAGUAACCUGCCCUUGACUUUGGGAUAACUUCAGGAAACUGGGGCUAAUACCGGAUAGGAGCUCCUGCUGCAUGGUGGGGGUUGGAAAGUUUCGGCGGUUGGGGAUGGACUCGCGGCUUAUCAGCUUGUUGGUGGGGUAGUGGCUUACCAAGGCUUUGACGGGUAGCCGGCCUGAGAGGGUGACCGGCCACAUUGGGACUGAGAUACGGCCCAGACUCCUACGGGAGGCAGCAGUGGGGAAUAUUGCACAAUGGGCGGAAGCCUGAUGCAGCAACGCCGCGUGCGGAAUGACGGCCUUCGGGUUGUAAACCGCUUUCGCCUGUGACGAAGCGUGAGUGACGGUAAUGAGUAAAGAAGCACCGGCUAACUACGUG
rnacentral:rRNA from 1 species